UCCUACGGGGCGCAGCAGUGGGGGAUAUUGCACAAUGGGGGAAACCCUGAUGCAGCGACGCCGCGUGUAGGAAGACGGUCCUCUGGAUUGUAAACUACUGUCCCCAGGGACGAAGAUGACGGUACCUGGGGAGGAAGCUCCGGCUAACUACGUGCCAGCAGCCGCGGUAAUACGUAGGGAGCGAGCGUUGUCCGGAAUUACUGGGGGUAAAGGGAGCGUAGGCGGGGAUGCAAGUUGGGUGUUAAAUCUACCGGAUCAACUGGUAGUCGCACGCAAAACUGAAGAUCUUGAGUG
rnacentral:rRNA from 1 species